GAUGAACGCUGGCGGCGUGCCUAAUACAUGCAAGUCGAGCGAACAGACGAGGAGCUUGCUCCUCUGACGUUAGCGGCGGACGGGUGAGUAACACGUGGAUAACCUACCUAUAAGACUGGGAUAACUUCGGGAAACCGGAGCUAAUACCGGAUAAUAUAUUGAACCGCAUGGUUCAAUAGUGAAAGACGGUUUUGCUGUCACUUAUAGAUGGAUCCGCGCCGCAUUAGCUAGUUGGUAAGGUAACGGCUUACCAAGGCAACGAUGCGUAGCCGACCUGAGAGGGUGAUCGGCCACACUGGAACUGAGACACGGUCCAGACUCCUACGGGAGGCAGCAGUAGGGAAUCUUCCGCAAUGGGCGAAAGCCUGACGGAGCAAAGACGCGUGAGUGAUGAAGGUCUUCGGAUAGUAAAACUAUGUUAUUAGGGAAGAACAAAUGUGUAAGUAACUAUGCACGUCUUGACGGUACCUAAUCAGAAAGCCACGGCUAACUACGUG
rnacentral:rRNA from 1 species